rnacentral:rRNA from 1 species
GGUCUGAGAGGAUGAUCAGCCACACUGGAACUGAGACACGGUCCAGACUCCUACGGGAGGCAGCAGUGGGGAAUAUUGGACAAUGGGCGCAAGCCUGAUCCAGCCAUACCGCGUGGGUGAAGAAGGCCCUUCGGGUUGUAAAGCCCUUUUGUUGGGAAAGAAAUCCAGCCGGCUAAUACCUGGUUGGGAUGACGGUACCCAAAGAAUAAGCACCGGCUAACUUCGUGCCAGCAGCCGCGGUAAUACGAAGGGUGCAAGCGUUACUCGGAAUUACUGGGCGUAAAGCGUGCGUAGGUGGUUAUUUAAGUCCGUUGUGAAAGCCCUGGGCUCAACCUGGGAACUGCAGUGGAUACU